rnacentral:rRNA from 1 species
CCUACGGGAGGCUGCAGUGGGGGAUAUUGCACAAUGGGGGAAACCCUGAUGCAGCGACGCCGCGUGAGUGAAGAAGUAUUUCGUUAUGUAAAGCUCUAUCGUCAGAGAAGAAAAUGACGGUACCUAAGUAAGAAGCCCCGGCUAACUACGUGCCAGCAGCCGCGGUAAUACGUAGGGGGCAAGCGUUAUCCGGAUUUACUGGGUGUAAAGGGAGCGUAGACGGCAGUGCAAGUCUGGAGUGAAAGGCGGGGGCUCAACCCCCGGACUGCUCUGGAAACUGUACGGCUGGAGUGCAGGAGAGGUAAGUGGAAUGCCUAGUGUAGCGGUGAAAUGCGGAGAUAUUAGGAGGAACACCAGUGGCGAAGGCGGCUUACUGGACUGUAACUGACGUUGAGGCUCGAAAGCGUGGGGAGCAAACAGGAUUAGAUACCCGGGUAGUC